rnacentral:lncRNA from 1 species
GCCUUGCCUCAUCCCCCGGGACUGCUCCCCUUCCCACAGCGCUUCUCCCGGCACCCCAAGCCCUCCCGCCCGGCCACGGAACCCUGCGCCCGACGCUUGCUCAGCAGCCGGGUUCGCCUGGAAGUGACCUCGCCUCCGCCAGGCGGACCCGGGGCCCUUGUCCUUGGUGCUGACCCAGCUGUCUCAUUCUCGCCGGCCCUUUCCAGAGCGCGGGGCCUUGCCGCACCACUAAGGAACGUCUGGCCGCGCCGUGUGAGGCCGGGAAGAGGCCUUGGUGUAAGGCUGUCCACCCCUGUCGUUGAACCUAGGGGGAAACUGAGGCCCAGAAAGUCUGGAUUCGAAUCCAGUGGGUCAAUUGACUCCCAGCCCAGAACGCCCGAAAGAACAGUUCAAAAGCCCAGGUUGGCAGAGGCGCUGCUAGCGGCAGGAAUCGCAACAGGGGACUCUGCAUAAAAGGAGCAUUCGCUGUGACCUACUUCGGAGGGGAUGGGGGGGGCGGGCUCUUCUACACGUCCUGGCUGGGCUGGCUGGUGCUGCGACCGCCAAGGAGGCUGCACUCCGCUGAAUAAAGCGCAUCCAGCCUUGUCUCCUCCACCUGACCUUUCACAAUCUCUAUUACCUGUGGGUUCCCAGGUACCUGUUACCUUCUUUUUAAGGUGGCCAAAUGAAAAAAGAAAAUGUGAUUCCCCUGGAUUGACAGUCUGGGCCAAUUUUUUUUUUAGUAAACACAAAAAUAGCUUGUUUUGUUUUUUAAAAAAAUUAAAGUAAGGACUCCAUGUGAACUUCUGCUGUAGGUGUCACAGACGCCAGGGAUUGCUAAAAGUCCUCCAGUGGAAACAGAAGGCAAACUGCACGGCUUCUCCCUGUCCUGUUCAAACGCAGAAGCAAAUGUCACACUUUUCUGCUUCAGGAGAUACCUAAAAUUCAUGUGGCCAUUGCAGGAAAUCACUGAACCCCAGACAGAUCUGCAAGCGGAGAAUUCAGACCUCCAAGUGGAUAGAGUUAUUACAUUUUUCCUCACACCUGCUGUCUUUCAAUCUAAGACCUCUUCCUCUUGAAAAUUCUUAAUUUUGUGCCACGCCAGCACCCUCUGCUGGUACUAGUGUCGUCAUUCAGGUGGUUUCUGUGCCCCUGGAGUUGCGUUCUUUCCUGAAACUAACUUCUCUUACCUUAAAUCCUGGACUAGUGGAUAGUGCUCUUCAUUGCCUUCCAUCAAGACACACACACAAAUGAAGCAAGAUGAAGUGUAAAAAGGUUGUGAGUUAAUUAAAAUCACAUUUCAGUUUAUUGUACUUUUGCCUGAGCAACCCC